GGAAUGGCCCUUUUCUUGCUACCCUGACAUGUGAUCAGACUAUCAGUGGUGCAGCGUUUUGCAGAAAGUUAUCAGAACUCUUUCGUGAAGAUUCAGAGUUGUUAUGGAAAGGGACAAGGAUGGGUCUGCAGUUAGAAUUCUAAUUUGGCUCAUUUUAGUAAGAUGGGUCUUGGCCAGAGUGUGCAGGAAGCAGUGCAUGCAGGAUGGUUCUCAUCAGGAGCUAGGAAACUGAAUUCGAAGAGAGAAUGUGUGAGAACUGGGUGUGGAGGAAAGGAGUGGGGGAUUGGUUUGGAUUUCAGUUCACAGAAGAGAGAAAUUGUGAGACUGAGGUUUAAAGCUUUGGGGGAACAAGGAAACUACAGUUUAAUCUACAAUUGUCUUAUGAAUUUCCAUCCUGUAUUAAAAGUGGUACCUUGUGUGCUCUGUUGUAUGGUACUGAAAGGGUGGAUUUGCGGAUGAGAAAUACAAAUUGAACUUCAUGUUCAGAUCUGGUGGUUACUUGAUCCGUGCCGAUCUGAAUAUCAUUGGCCUUUUCAUCUGGAAGGAAAGAGACAGGGCUCCAGUGCCUGCAUGAGGACUGCAACUCCCAAAUUCCGAGGCAGGGACCACACGUCUGUGGGGAAACCCGGCACUGCACAAGUACAGAAUGUGGGGUGCUAGAUGGUGAAGAUUUGCAGACUGAAACCUCAAAAUCAUGUGCAGAUCGUGGUUAAGUUAAACAACAUUUGAAGAACCAAAGAUAGAGAAUCACUCAGCCAAAAUCCUGCAACACUCGCCCUCCCAGCAUUGUCGGUCUAUCUGCGCCAAAUGGACUGCGAAUGGGUCAAGACAGCAGCUCACUACCAUCUUCUCAAGGGUAACGAGAGAUGGGGAAUAAAUGAUGGCUGAGCCAGUGAUGCC